CCUACGGGAGGCAGCAGUGGGGAAUUUUGGGCAAUGGGCGAAAGCCUGACCCAGCAACGCCGCGUGGAGGAUGAAGGCCCUCGGGUCGUAAACUCCUGUCCUAGGGGAAGAAAAAAAUGACGGUACCCUUGGAGGAAGCCCCGGCUAACUCCGUGCCAGCAGCCGCGGUAAU
rnacentral:rRNA from 1 species